GCCCAGCCCUUCGCGGGCGCAGCAGUCGCGAAACCUUUGCAUACRCGCAAGYGUGACAGGGUUAUCCCGAGUGCCUUCCGCUGAGGAAGGCUUUUMCCCACUCUAGAAAGCUGGGGGAAUAAGGAGAGGGCAAGUCUGGUGUCAGCCGCCGCGGUAAUACCAGCUCYYCCAGUGGUGYGGAUGWUUAUUGGGCCUAAAGCAUCCGUAGCUGGUUGUAUUAGUCCUCUGUUAAAUCCACCCACUUAAUCGUUGGGYYGCCGGGGAUACUGCUYAACUAGGRARCGGGAGAGGCUAGACGGUAUUCUCGGGGUAGGGGUGAAAUCCUAUAAUCCCUUGAAGACCACCAGUGGCGAAGGCUGUCUGCUAGAACGCGCUCGACGGUGAGGGAUGAAAGCUGGGGGARCSAACCGGAUUARAUACCCGGGUAGUCCCAGCUGUAAACCAUGCAGGCUAGGUGUUUGGGCGSCCACGUGCCGUUCCAGUGCCGCAGGGAARCUGUUAAGUCUGCCGCCUGGGGAGUACGAUCGCMAGAUUGAAACUUAA
rnacentral:rRNA from 1 species